GAUGAACGCUGGCGGCGUGCCUAAUACAUGCAAGUCGAGCGAACAGACGAGAGUGCUUGCACUCUCUGCCGUUAGCGGCGGACGGGUGAGUAACACGUGGGUAACCUACCUAUAAGACUGGGAUAACUUCGGGAAACCGGAGCUAAUACCGGAUAAUAUUUAGCUUCGCAUGAAGCAAUAGUGAAAGACGGUUCUGCUGUCACUUAUAGAUGGACCCGCGGUGUAUUAGCUAGUUGGUGAGGUAACGGCUCACCAAGGCAACGAUACAUAGCCGACCUGAGAGGGUGAUCGGCCACACUGGGACUGAGACACGGCCCAGACUCCUACGGGAGGCAGCAGUAGGGAAUCUUCCGCAAUGGACGGAAGUCUGACGGAGCAAUGCCGCGUGAGUGAAGAAGGUUUUCGGAUCGUAAAACUCUGUUGUAAGGGAAGAACAAGUACGUUAGUAACUGAACGUACCUUGACGGUACCUUACCAGAAAGCCACGGCUAACUACGUG
rnacentral:rRNA from 1 species